rnacentral:lncRNA from 1 species
ACAGAAACAGGUACGUCUCACCUUGCAGAGCUGCUGUAAGUGUAAACCAGGAGUAGUUCAAAUGGGUUAUGUGAUGUGUUUUAUGUAUUCUACAAAUGUCAGUUCUCAUGUGUAUUAAGUCCUUGAGACAUCUUUACCCUGCCUCACACUUUGGGAUUCAGAGUGAUAUUCUUCUGCUUUGUAAUAGAAUAUGUCUUUCUGGCCUACAGUUUGGGAUCUGAAGCCACAUGCUCUGCAUAACUGGAAUUGGGGGAAAUGCUCAUUGAGUGGGUUGGGGGGAAGAUGAUAGAGAAAGCCUUUCCUCUGUCCUCCUCUGGGGAGAAUUCUGUGCGUCACCUCAGGUGUUCAUCCAACAACAUACAUGAGCACACAUUUCUUUCCCUUUGACUAAAAUGAGAAAGUUUAAGACAUGAAGUGUUCCUCAGGUAAACCUGUUCCCAGUCUAUAAAAGAAGAGAGAGAAAGAAAAAAAAAAACCUGUCAUCCACACCAGAGUUCUGUCUCAAAGCUUCCAGCCUCUUGGCAGAGUAAAGGUGCAGAGCCCCCCUCCCCACCAAGCUUGGGGAACCUCUUUUCUCAUGUUCUUGAAAGGUUUAAUUGGUCCCCUACCCCCCCCCCCAUCUUGGCUUCUCUCUGAUUGAAGGUAAAGACUAGGCAACUACGUCAUUCUUCCAACCUGAGAAGGUUCUAGAAUCUAGGCUCAAGACCAGCAAUGGAGCAGAAGACUCAAGUUCCAGCCUUCAUCCAUUCAUCGGUGUUGUUUUCUGGGUUUGAGGUUCCACGUUCAGGAAACAAGAGUGUUUAUGCACUGGGUUGCCAUGCUCACUGAAACAUCUUCCCCAAACAAUGAAAUGUCAACUCAGUCCAACCACUAGAUCUUAGCAACACCUCUACAGGAAAUCCUGGGGUCAGAAGAACAUGGUAGAUGCCAUCACAGGUGCACGAUCAACAAAUCUAAACCGUGAGAACUAGUGCAGGGCAAAGGGUUCACUUUCUUCAUUCAACAAAUAAAUGGCAUGGAAAUGGGACCUGAAUGUGGAUUAGGGGUUUAAGAGGCUUGGCCAAAUGUGAUGUUUAAACGAUUUCUAUUCCAGUUUGUAUAAACCAACUGUAAAAAUACAUGAUGGAGCCAACCAGAUACCUUAAAAGAGGUUGGCUCCUCAAUUGCUAUUGAAAGUCAUUCCAUUUUCUUUAGGGGUAACUCUGUGUAUAUGUCAGGGUUCUCUAGAGUUACAAAACUGAUAGGAUGAAUGUAUGAUUGUCAGAGUGGCUAUCAGGAUGUGGUCUGAGUAGUCCAACAAUGGAUGGCUCUUGAUGGAAAGGCCAAGGAUCUGGUAUUUGUUUGGUUCAUGAGACUGCGUGUCUCAGUAGCCUCAGUAUGGUGCUGGAGUCCCUGGAAGGCACUAGAGAGCUUCCGGUCUUCUGUCCACAUUGGGAUCUUGAAGAUGUAGUUCUAACAUCAGUGAAGAAAUGGCUCAGGAACAGGACAGAUGAACUUGAGGGUGAGGGCAAACAUGCCAAAAAGCAAACGCUUCCUUCAUCCAUGCCCUUUUAUGUGGGCUGCUAUCAAAAGGUGUUGAUCAGAUUUGGGGUGAGUCUUCUGACUCAAGUGACCCAGA